rnacentral:snoRNA from 1 species
AUCAAGGUUAGAUUCUGUUGCCUUAGUGUGCUAGAGUCCUCGAAGAGAUGACUUUAUUCACUGGCUGUGGCCCUCAUGGCAUAGUCAGUCACCAGGUUAGUGACAUGU